UCUUAAGUUAAAUUUGGACGAAUAUGGAGAUGAAUUAAACAAAUGUAUUAAAUUCGAAGACAUUUCAAAUUAUUUGUACUAACAUGGAACAAAUGUGAACUUUCGGUCCUUGCUAAUAAUGUAUUUUAAACACACAUUUUCGCUUAACAGACUUUUCUCCCAUCCUGUGAUCGAAUAUCCAUAAUAAAGAGAUAAAGAAUAUUCCAACGACUGGAUAUUUUCCAUCUUCAUUGCAAUUUAAAUGUCUUCGAAAAUCCAAAUGUUUUCUAUCCUGACAGAUUUCUUCCCGAAAAUUCUUCCAAACGCUCACCUUACUCAUACAUCCCAUUUUCGGCAAGACCCAGGAUGUGUCCGGGAUAUUACUUGGCCAUGAUGAAAAUUAAACAGAUUCUGGCAACAAUUUUAAAAAUGUUGAAAGUAGGAUAUUUGGAAAAAACCUCACUCAAGUUCGGAAUUACUCUUAAUCCUAGUCGAUUACUCGAACUCCAAUUUGAACCAAGAAAACCGUAAAUAUUUUUACGUUAGAUGCUUUUGAGGCAUACUCAUAAAUUAUUACCGUCAAAAGUAUUGUAAUAUUUGGCAUUUUGUUCGAAAGAGCAGUGCUUUUGCUCUUUCUAAACGACGUCGUAAUAAAUCGAAAUGAAACCUAAACCAUAUAUUUUUUGGCAUUCCUCCGUUAGCUUUCUUACAAAAUAAAUUCUUACAUAAUUAAUUUUGUACACUUUUACUAAAAUUAUCUCAUGGUCAUUGCAGUCUUCUUCUUCUUUUUUUAAAAUAAUUAUUGUAGAUAUACAAUUGACUUGUUUUCUCUGUCUUUACUAAGACAGAAUUUAUUUCUCAGACUAACUUUAAAUGCGAAUUCCAAUAGUACGAAUGUGGGGUGAAUUAAACAUCAGAUACUAUACUUUCUGUUAUAAUGUAGUGCAUUGAGUAAUAGCAGAUUAUAAGCCACAUUAAAAUAUUUUACUGCUAAGGUCAAUAAAGUUGUUUAUUAUCUAAUUAUUAACUAAUACAAAUUAUUACUAAUACU